rnacentral:rRNA from 1 species
GCUUGUCUCAAAGAUUAAGCCAUGCAUGUCUAAGUAUAAACAACUUUGUACUGUGAAACUGCGAAUGGCUCAUUAUAUCAGUUAUAGUCUACUCGAUAGUACCUUACUACUUGGAUAACCGUAGUAAUUCUAGAGCUAAUACAUGCGAAAAAUCUCGACUCACGGAGAGAUGCUUUUAUUAGAUCAAAACCAAACGGCUUCGGCCGUCUCAUUGGUGACUCUGAAUAACUUUGGGCUGAUCGUAUGGCCUUGUGCCGACGACGUUUCCUUCGAAGGUGUGCCCUAUCAACUGUCGACUGUGAUAUAGACGCUCACAGUGGUUUUGACGGGUAACGGGGAAUCAGGGUUCGAUUCCGGAGAGGGAGCCUUAAAAACGGCUACCACAUCCAAGGAAGGCAGCAGG